ensembl:misc_RNA Metazoa_SRP Metazoan signal recognition particle RNA
GCUGGGCGUGGUGGCUCACGCCUGUAAUCCCAGCACUUUGGGAGGCUGAGGCGGGUGGAUCACCUGAGGUCAGGAGUUCUAGACCAGCCUGGCCAACAUGGUGAAACCCUGUCUCCA